rnacentral:rRNA from 1 species
UUAAGCGACUAAGCGUACACGGUGGAUGCCCUGGCAGUCAGAGGCGAUGAAGGACGUGCUAAUCUGCGAUAAGCGUCGGUGAGGUGAUAUGAACCGUUAUAACCGGCGAUUUCCGAAUGGGGAAACCCAGUGUGUUUCGACACACUAUCAUUAACUGAAUCCAUAGGUUAAUGAGGCGAACCGGGGGAACUGAAACAUCUAAGUACCCCGAGGAAAAGAAAUCAACCGAGAUUCCCCCAGUAGCGGCGAGCGAACGGGGAGGAGCCCAGAGCCUGAAUCAGUGUGUGUGUUAGUGGAAGCGUCUGGAAAGGCGCGCGAUACAGGGUGACAGCCCCGUACACAAAAAUGCACAUAUUGUGAGCUCGAUGAGUAGGGCGGGACACGUGGUAUCCUGUCUGAAUAUGGGGGGACCAUCCUCCAAGGCUAAAUACUCCUGACUGACCGAUAGUGAACCAGUACCGUGAGGGAAAGGCGAAAAGAACCCCGGCGAGGGGAGUGAAAAAGAACCUGAAACCGUGUACGUACAAGCAGUGGGAGCCUCUUAAUGGGGUGACUGCGUACCUUUUGUAUAAUGGGUCAGCGACUUAUAUUCUGUAGCAAGGUUAACCGAAUAGGGGAGCCGAAGGGAAACCGAGUCUUAACUGGGCGUUAAGUUGCAGGGUAUAGACCCGAAACCCGGUGAUCUAGCCAUGGGCAGGUUGAAGGUUGGGUAACACUAACUGGAGGACCGAACCGACUAAUGUUGAAAAAUUAGCGGAUGACUUGUGGCUGGGGGUGAAAGGCCAAUCAAACCGGGAGAUAGCUGGUUCUCCCCGAAAGCUAUUUAGGUAGCGCCUCGUGAAUUCAUCUCCGGGGGUAGAGCACUGUUUUCGGCAAGGGGGUCAUCCCGACUUACCAACCCGAUGCAAACUGCGAAUACCGGAGAAUGUUAUCACGGGAGACACACGGCGGGUGCUAACGUCCGUCGUGAAGAGGGAAACAACCCAGACCGCCAGCUAAGGUCCCAAAGUCAUGGUUAAGUGGGAAACGAUGUGGGAAGGCCCAGACAGCCAGGAUGUUGGCUUAGAAGCAGCCAUCAUUUAAAGAAAGCGUAAUAGCUCACUGGUCGAGUCGGCCUGCGCGGAAGAUGUAACGGGGCUAAACCAUGCACCGAAGCUGCGGCAGCGACACUAUGUGUUGUUGGGUAGGGGAGCGUUCUGUAAGCCUGUGAAGGUGGCCUGUGAGGGUUGCUGGAGGUAUCAGAAGUGCGAAUGCUGACAUAAGUAACGAUAAAGCGGGUGAAAAGCCCGCUCGCCGGAAGACCAAGGGUUCCUGUCCAACGUUAAUCGGGGCAGGGUGAGUCGACCCCUAAGGCGAGGCCGAAAGGCGUAGUCGAUGGGAAACAGGUUAAUAUUCCUGUACUUGGUGUUACUGCGAAGGGGGGACGGAGAAGGCUAUGUUGGCCGGGCGACGGUUGUCCCGGUUUAAGCGUGUAGGCUGGUUUUCCAGGCAAAUCCGGAAAACCAAGGCUGAGGCGUGAUGACGAGGCACUACGGUGCUGAAGUGACAAAUGCCCUGCUUCCAGGAAAAGCCUCUAAGCAUCAGGUAACAUCAAAAUCGUACCCCAAACCGACACAGGUGGUCAGGUAGAGAAUACCAAGGCGCUUGAGAGAACUCGGGUGAAGGAACUAGGCAAAAUGGUGCCGUAACUUCGGGAGAAGGCACGCUGAUAUGUAGGUGAAGCGACUUGCUCGUGGAGCUGAAAUCAGUCGAAGAUACCAGCUGGCUGCAACUGUUUAUUAAAAACACAGCACUGUGCAAACACGAAAGUGGACGUAUACGGUGUGACGCCUGCCCGGUGCCGGAAGGUUAAUUGAUGGGGUUAGCGGUAACGCGAAGCUCUUGAUCGAAGCCCCGGUAAACGGCGGCCGUAACUAUAACGGUCCUAAGGUAGCGAAAUUCCUUGUCGGUAAGUUCCGACCUGCACGAAUGGCGUAAUGAUGGCCAGGCUGUCUCCACCCGAGACUCAGUGAAAUUGAACUCGCUGUGAAGAUGCAGUGUACCCGCGGCAAGACGGAAAGACCCCGUGAACCUUUACUAUAGCUUGACACUGAACAUUGAGCCUUGAUGUGUAGGAUAGGUGGGAGGCUUUGAAGUGUGGACGCCAGUCUGCAUGGAGCCGACCUUGAAAUACCACCCUUUAAUGUUUGAUGUUCUAACGUUGGCCCGUAAUCCGGGUUGCGGACAGUGUCUGGUGGGUAGUUUGACUGGGGCGGUCUCCUCCUAAAGAGUAACGGAGGAGCACGAAGGUUGGCUAAUCCUGGUCGGACAUCAGGAGGUUAGUGCAAUGGCAUAAGCCAGCUUGACUGCGAGCGUGACGGCGCGAGCAGGUGCGAAAGCAGGUCAUAGUGAUCCGGUGGUUCUGAAUGGAAGGGCCAUCGCUCAACGGAUAAAAGGUACUCCGGGGAUAACAGGCUGAUACCGCCCAAGAGUUCAUAUCGACGGCGGUGUUUGGCACCUCGAUGUCGGCUCAUCACAUCCUGGGGCUGAAGUAGGUCCCAAGGGUAUGGCUGUUCGCCAUUUAAAGUGGUACGCGAGCUGGGUUUAGAACGUCGUGAGACAGUUCGGUCCCUAUCUGCCGUGGGCGCUGGAGAACUGAGGGGGGCUGCUCCUAGUACGAGAGGACCGGAGUGGACGCAUCACUGGUGUUCGGGUUGUCAUGCCAAUGGCACUGCCCGGUAGCUAAAUGCGGAAGAGAUAAGUGCUGAAAGCAUCUAAGCACGAAACUUGCCCCGAGAUGAGUUCUCCCUGAGACUUAGAGUCUCCUGAAGGAACGUUGAAGACGACGACGUUGAUAGGCCGGGUGUGUAAGCGCAGCGAUGCGUUGAGCUAACCGGUACUAAUGAACCGUGAGGCUUAACCUU